UUGCCUACGGGGGGCAGCAGUGAGGAAUAUUGGUCAAUGGGCGAGAGCCUGAACCAGCCAAGUCGCGUGAGGGAGUACUGCCCUAUGGGUUGUAAACCUCUUUUGUCGGGGAGCAAAGCGAGUCACGUGUGACUCAUUGAGAGUACCCGAAGAAAAAGCAUCGGCUAACUCCGUGCCAGCAGCCGCGGUAAUACGGAGGAUGCGAGCGUUAUCCGGAUUUAUUGGGUUUAAAAGGUGCGCAGGCGGAGGUGCAAGUCAGCGGUCAAAUUGCGGGGCUCAACCCCGUACUGCCGUUGAAACUGCAU
rnacentral:rRNA from 1 species